UUGGUGUUUGUGCUUUCACUACAAAAACACACAAAAGACUAUCUAACUAAUGUCUUUCAUUUUCAGGGCUUUGUGUUUCUAGAACAUUAUGAUCUAAAGGAAUACGAUCCGUUUCUUCUCCACAUCAAAAAGCCACGCUACCUCAAGGUGAAGGUGAUAUUUUGUGACUGAAAUGUUUUGCUAAAUAUAUAUUAAAGCAACUUUUGACACACUGAAGAACUGCAAAUGCUACUGAUGAAGUAUUCUCUGAUUUAUCCACAGCUCGGUACGGCAGACUUAAAGAGAACAGCCUCUUCUUGUGAAGCAGGAUCUAGAUACACAAGGAGACAAGUAGAGAAGCUACCUCAGAGCAACAUCCUGCUACAGGCCUUUUCACAUCAUCCAGUCACAAGCCAGAAGCACUCCAGUGGUGAAUGAAACUGGAGGAAGGAAGUCUAGCAGGUUCGUCAACAUACCGUACCGGAUCAGUUCCACCACCACACCGGAUGGAAGGUGCCAUAGGAACGGUUGCUUGGUCUCCAAAUGUGGAUGUCAGCAACAACCAGCAAGUUUACAACAACACCAGUCCUCGGUUACAUCGAAAUAAAACCCAUAUUAACAAUUCAUCUUUACCUUCCCUUCUAACUACCUCAAAUGUUACCCCAGGCACUAAACCUGGGA